AUUGAACGCUGGCGGAAUGCUUUACACAUGCAAGUCGAGCGGCAGCGCGGGGGCAACCCUGGCGGCGAGCGGCGAACGGGUGAGUAACAUAUCGGAACGUACCCCGUCGUGGGGGAUAACACAGCGAAAGCUGUGCUAAUACCGCAUACGACCUGAGGGUGAAAGCGGGGGAUCGCAAGACCUCGCGCGAUGGGAGCGGCCGAUAUCGGAUUAGCUUGUUGGUGAGGUAAAGGCUCACCAAGGCGACGAUCCGUAGCUGGUCUGAGAGGACGACCAGCCACACUGGAACUGAGACACGGUCCAGACUCCUACGGGAGGCAGCAGAGGGGAAUUUUGGACAAUGGGGGCGAACCCUGAUCCAGCCAUUCCGCGUGAGUGAAGAAGGCCU
rnacentral:rRNA from 1 species